AGUGGCUUAGAACGCGGAAUUUGUCUGUUGCACGCGAUGCACGCUGCAGCUGCCGAUGGCAAUGUAUUUUUAGGCACACUCCAGUUAAAUAGCAUUCAUUCCGUGGUUUUUGGACCAAAAAAGAACCAAGAUGGCGGCACCAUUCGCACUUCCAUUCAGUGACUUUGUCUUCACUACACUCCCACUCCAUCCCACUGUGCGGCCAACAUGUGUUUUCCUUCUUGAGGAAAUAGCGUUGUUGUUGAUGCGACUCUCAUAUGCGCUACACUGGCGGCCGGCUGUAUAUUUCUGCGUGGGUGGGGGAGAGCAGGGCAUCUAGUUUGCCGCCAGAGCUUAAACUUUAGUCUCACGCUCUCGGUGUGUCCCUCGCUCUCUUUGGCUAAGCGCUCUCAACUUUCAACUGCCGUUAUGAUUUCGCAAUUACAUUACAACAACAACAACUUAAAAGGCAGAGCAGACAUCGCUGGAAAUUCAGCUGCAUAAGUGUAAGUGUGUGGCUGUGUGCGAGUGUGGGUAGACGGCGGCAACUAUCUCGCUUGCUCUUGCGUCCGGGGUUAUCGGUAGCUUCUUCUAGGCUGAGUGCAUUUCGUUGAAUCGUGGAUGUUGAAAGUUGUCUAAUUUCCGAACUAUUGAUUUUUCCCCUUCCCCGUCAAGAAACUCCAUUGUUGCUUCUUGAAGACCAGUUUUGGUAACAUCAGGAGAAUGGAAAGGAGCGAGUGAGUCGACAAUGGCGGCGGCAAACGUUCUUGGAAAGCCGCAGGAACCAACAAAAUGCCUGGCGUCACAUUAACCGAGCCGCCUUUGUUUAUGCAAA
rnacentral:sRNA from 1 species